UUUCUCUUUAGUUUUUAUAGGAGAUAUGUCCUGCCCACUGAUAAUAUUUUAAUGGCCGCGGUAUUUUGACCGUGCAAAGGUAGCAUAAUCAUUAGUCUUUUAAUUGGAGUCUGGAAUGAAUGGUUUGAUGAAAUAUAGUUUGUCUUAUUUUGAUAAUUAAUUGAAUUUAAUUGUUGGGUUAAAAAGCUUAAAUUUUUUUAUGGGACGAGAAGACCCUAUAGAGUUUUAUAAUUUAUUUGUUGUUGUUGUUUUUUAUUUUUUUAUAAUUUAUAAUUUAUUUUGUUGGGGUGAUGGGUAGAUAAAAUAAACUCUAUUUAUUGUUUUGUAAUAUUUUUAUAUUGUUGAUCCAAUAAUUUUGAUUAUAAGACUGAAUUACCUUAGGGAUAACAGCGUAAUCUUUUUGGAGAGUUCUUAUCUAUAAAAAGGUUUGCGA
rnacentral:rRNA from 1 species